UUUGCACAAUUCCUCUAUGUUGGGAUAAUAAAAACUCAUGAUUAGAAGCAGCUGGCAAUUUUUAUAAGCCGACAAAAGUCAACUCACAAAUAAACAAGAACGUUUCCCAGUUUUUAACUGGUCUUUAGGAUGAUAUACCGUAUAUACCGGAUCUAUGGAGUUACAUGCAUUGUAGUUCAUUAACUCAAGAUAUUUUGGGAUGCUCAAUAAAAUGUAAAGGAUUCUGAUGAAUCUGACAGAUGACAGCUAGAGGUUCUCAAAAACUAAUAAACGGUACCAUGGCAACAGGAGACAGUAGUGGUUGAUAGCCAAGGAAAAAUCAAGAAUGAUUCCUCUCACAUACAUCUUACCUCACAGACCACCACAUGACCUAUCAGAUAAGAGACGAAAUACCACACUGAUAGGUAUUCGGGAGAACCUUGUCCACAGCUUCGAAGUGGUUCUUGAAAGACUUCUGACUGAAGAAGUAACGUUAAGGAAGGCCCAG